rnacentral:lncRNA from 1 species
CAAACAACCCCAGUUCCCUCAGCUGCUCCUUACAGGACUUGUGCUCCAGAAAAACAGACUGCUCGUAGGACACCCAUCCCACCAGCAGUACCCCACAGGGAUGUGACAGGCCGACCCCUGUGCACUCAGCCUGGAAAUCUAGGCUGAGGCAGCUGCACCAGGGAGCCAUUUGCUUCAAUUCCCUUCCUGUCUAAAUACCUUGCAGACCUUGUGUUGGUGUAUAUCAUACCAGCCUGUAAUGGUAUCAAGACCUCCACGUGGUUCCUGUGUGUGAUCAAUGGCCUGGACUAUUCCUAUAAAGGCUGCUCUUACUUCAUGGUAUUCUGGACCUGUGUUGCUAAGGAGAUGGAAAGGAUUUGGAAGGAAGAGUCUUUCAAGACCCCAUCAGGUAAUUUAGGUACAAUUCCUUAUGCCUGUCACUUAAGAUGAUCUGACUACAAAGAGCCCAUCCCUGUAAAGGACUUACGAAACAGUGUACUGUAUUAUCAAAAGAAGGUAAUUUCACAACUAUGGAGUACUUGGAAAGAGAAGCUGGUGUGAAUAUGUAUUUUAGCAGUGUUCCUGCUUUAGGUUUUUUGGUAACAGAAAUGCAACGUGCAGCCAAGGGCGUAUACAGAUUUAGCUGUCAACCUCUUUGUUGUAUUUAAGAAGGAAAUUUGCAAGUGUUCAUGGGGUGCCAUUCGAAAAGAAUUACAACACUGCAGUCACCACUGGGAUUCGCCUACUGUAGUUGCAUAGUCUUCAAGUACUCCCAAGACUCUGAAUAAGCACUUGGGAAAUUGGUUAAUGUUGAAUUGUGCUCAGCUGUAGUUACAGUGCUUCAAACAUCCAAACUAGCU